GACUGUGUAAAUACCAUCUUGACAAUGCCUGAUCUAGGAACCUAAGUAGGGUUGGGCCUGGUUAGUAGGAUGGGAGUUCACCAGAAACACCAGGUACCAUAGUGG
rnacentral:rRNA from 1 species